rnacentral:rRNA from 1 species
GUGGGGAAUUUUGGACAAUGGGCGCAAGCCUGAUCCAGCAAUGUCGCGUGCAGGAAGAAGGCCUUCGGGUUGUAAACUGCUUUUGUACGGAACGAAACGGUCCGGGUUAAUACCCUGGGCUAAUGACGGUACCGUAAGAAUAAGCACCGGCUAACUACGUGCCAGCAGCCGCGGUAAUACGUAGGGUGCAAGCGUUAAUCGGAAUUACUGGGCGUAAAGCGUGCGCAGGCGGUUUUGUAAGACAGGCGUGAAAUCCCCGGGCUCAACCUGGGAAUUGCGCUUGUGACUGCAAGGCUGGAGUGCGGCAGAGGGGGAUGGAAUUCCGCGUGUAGCAGUGAAAUGCGUAGAUAUGCGGAGGAACACCGAUGGCGAAGGCAAUCCCCUGGGCCUGCACUGACGCUCAUGCACGAAAGCGUGGGGAGCAAACAGGAUUAGAAACCCGUGUAGUCC